rnacentral:rRNA from 1 species
CCUACGGGUGGCUGCAGUGAGGAAUAUUGGUCAAUGGACGAGAGUCUGAACCAGCCAAGUAGCGUGAAGGAUGACUGCCCUAUGGGUUGUAAACUUCUUUUAUAUGGGAAUAAAAUGUUCCACGUGUGGGAUUUUGUAUGUACCAUAUGAAUAAGGAUCGGCUAACUCCGUGCCAGCAGCCGCGGUAAUACGGAGGAUCCGAGAGUUAUACGGAUUUAUUGGGUUUAAAGGGGGCGUAGGUGGAUUGUUAAGUCAGUUGUGAAAGUUUGCGGCUCAACCGUAAAAUUGCAGUUGAAACUGGCAGUCUUGAGUACAGUGGAGGUGGGCGGAAUUCGUGGUGUAGCGGUGAAAUGCUUAGAUAUCACGAAGAACUCCGAUUGCGAAGGCAGUUCACUGGACUGCAACUGACACUGAGGCUCGAAAGUGUGGGUAUCAAACAGGAUUAGAUACCCUGGUAGUC